rnacentral:ncRNA from 1 species
CAUCGCGAGGUGGAAUCUGAAAGAAGCCCGAGGCAAACCUUUGGUCCGACGAACAGAAACUUCGUUAGGCAUUUGCAAGUGGAUAAGGCUGCACUACAAGCUGAAGUCCCAAAGCUACCCAGAACUUGUGGUGUAAACGAAGCGGACACAUGAAGGGAAAGAUUA